rnacentral:rRNA from 1 species
UGGGGAAUAUUGCACAAUGAGCGCAAGCCUGAUGCAGCCAUGCCGCGUGUAUGAAGAAGGCCUUCGGGUUGUAAAGUACUUUCAGUCGGGAGGAAGGUGUCAAGGUUAAUAACCUUGGCAAUUGACGUUACCGACAGAAGAAGCACCGGCUAACUCCGUGCCAGCAGCCGCGGUAAUACGGAGGGUGCAAGCGUUAAUCGGAAUUACUGGGCGUAAAGCGCACGCAGGCGGUUGAUUGAGUCAGAUGUGAAAUCCCCGGGCUUAACCCGGGAAUUGCAUCUGAUACUGGUCAGCUAGAGUCUUGUAGAGGGGGGUAGAAUUCCAUGUGUAGCGGUGAAAUGCGUAGAGAUGUGGAGGAAUACCGGUGGCGAAGGCGGCCCCCUGGACAAAGACUGACGCUCAGGUGCGAAAGCGUGGGGAGCAAACAGG